ACGGGGCUAGAUCUUCAAUGUAGGAUCAGGAUUUUGGUUUGAAUUGAUUUUUUUUUAAAAAUAGUGCUAAGCAGAUGCUACACUGUAAGAAGAGGCAACAGAAUCAAAAACUGAAAGAUUGUUACUAAAACCAAUGAAGAGCUGCAGAGAGUGGAGACCCAGCAAAGCAAACAAAUGAAUCCUGAAAAGGAUCCCCAAAGGAGGUGUAAGGAUCCGGGACUCCAAUGUCUGCCAGAAGCUUCAGCCACCUUCACAGGUUAGAGUUCACCGUCCAUUGCGGAGGUGAAGACCGGAUGAGAGCUGCUGGAUUGACCUUGAUGUGCCAUGUCCUUGUGUGGAUGAAGGACCUCCAUCUCAGGGAUGGCCAGCAGCAGAUGUAACACGUGUGUCCAGGAAUGGGCUAAAUAACCUACAU